rnacentral:tRNA from 1 species
GGAGCUGGAUCUGUCCUGGUGGGCAGCGCGGCCUUCAAAGCCGUUGUGAGGGAUGAAGAAUCUCUCGGGUGUGUUCGAUUCACACACAGCUCCGCCA